UCUUUUCUAUUUUUUUUAAGUAGGAUACAAAAUAUAAUACUAAGUGAUAUAGUGCAUAUGGUUUCUCAUGUAAUUUUCCCAACAACCGUUUGAGAGUUCAGUAAACCUCUCACACCUUGAUUUCCUCCUGUAUAAAACACAAAAUAAUAGUACCUACAUCACUGGGCUUCUGAGGGUGAAAUGAAAUAUCCCUGCAAAGCUCUGAGCACAGUGCCAGGCACAAAGUGUUUUGAUAAGAUUCUUUAUUAAGGACCUUACUUCUCUCUAGCUGGCUUAUUCAUUCCUCGAGGACAACGUCCUAUCUUCCCUUUCUCCUACAUCUUCCACAGUGCUCAGAACAAUUCGGGGCCCACGCAGUGGCCUUUCAGUACUUAACUGUCAAGAAAACUUUGUGGCUGAACACAAACAUGCAAAUAAAAUGACACGCAUUUUCAAAUUGUUUCAAUGCAGAUAAUUGAUGAUGUAGCUUAAGCAAUGAUCCCUUUCUAUGUGGCUACUCAUUUAACAUAAGGACAGGAUUCCUGACUUCUUUUUUUAUUGGCUUCAAAGGUGUUGGACAUUUUUCUUGAAAGGUCAGUUCUGCCUAUCAGGGUAACAUAAGUUCUGAGCUAUGUUCAGAGGGCUACUCCUCUCAGAAGCUGUCUGAUUUCCCAUUUUCCUCUCUAGGUAAGAAUUUCACUGCUCUUGUUGGCUAAAGGAGCAUCGUGUGGGCAUGCGAUUUAUAACGGAGAGCGUUGCAGAGUUGCUUGGAAUAUGUUUAAUGCCAGGGCACAUCGCAGCCUACUUUGAUGCAGGAGAAGGGGAGAUGAAGAAGAGGAUGUGAGCGCCAGCGAGAUGAGAGGAAGCAGGGGUGACUGCAGUGAAUGGGGAGGCUGCAAUGCUGAAACAGGCUCUGUUUACUGCACAAUACCCCCACGGAAACAGCCCUACAUAUUAAUGGGGCCGGCCGAGUGGCACGUUGGUUAAGAGCUGCCUUGGGAC